rnacentral:rRNA from 1 species
CCUACGGGUGGCAGCAGUGGGGAAUAUUGGGCAAUGGGCGCAAGCCUGACCCAGCAACGCCGCGUGAAGGAAGAAGGCUUUCGGGUUGUAAACUUCUUUUGUCAGGGACGAAGCAAGUGACGGUACCUGACGACUAAGCCACGGCUAACUCCGUGCACGCGGCGGCGGUAAUACGUAGGUGGCAAGAGUUAUCCGGAUGUACGGGGUGUAAAGGGCGUGUAGGCGGGGAAGAAAGUCAGAUGUGAAAACCACGGGCUAAACCUGUGGCCUGCAUUUGAUACUGUUUUGCUGGAGUGCUGGAGAGGCAGUCGGAAUUCGGUGUGUAGCGGUGAAAUGCGUAGAUAUACCGAGGAACACCAGUGGCGAAGGCGGAUUGCGGAACAGUAAUUGACGCUGAGGCGCGAAAGCGUGGGGAGCAAACAGGAUUAGAUACCCUAGUAGUC